GGCACUCAGAGAUACAUUUCGCAAAAAAUAUUAAUUUAUUAAUUACAUGAAUUAUUCAGACAGAGUUGUGAACAAUUAGUUGGGUGGGUCAGUGCAACAUGAGAUACCUUUAUGCCCUAAAACAAAGCCAGUAUAUUCAGUUGAAACUGGAUGAAGGCUAUGAUAUGAAUGGCUCCAUCAGUUCACUACACACAGCAAAGGUAUUGUUUGUAUUUUUAUUCAUGUCGUCAUUGCAUGUUGAGAAAACGCCUCCAAAAAUUGUCAUUUACUGCUUUUUCCCUGGUAUACUAUUAUCUGCAUUUCAACCAGUUUCAGUGAAAUUAUAUGUAAUGCACAGUGGGGGAGUUGUUGGGUGAUAAAAGUAAAUAAUGUAGCACCAUUAUGUGUGGUUAUCAAUUUUUCAUGGACCAAUGCUGUGGAUUUAGAGCCAAUCCCAGCUGUCUCUGGGAGAGGGCAGGGUACACCCUGGACAAGUUGUCCUUCACUGAUGGCAGGGGCCGCCAUGCAAAGUGCCAACUGCACAUCAGGACCAAGGUGGGGUUCAGUAUCUUACUCAAGGACACUUCAACAUGAGGUUCAGCUCAGCCUAGGGGAGCUGGUAUUAGAGCCAGCAACCCUCCGAUCACCAGCCGACUUGCUCUACCUGUCGGCUAGUGAGCUCCAGCCGCCCCUGUGUAUAUCCAACAUGAACUGCCACAGAACCAGCGACUGAAAAUGAUUCUUCUGUCUGCUGUCAUGUAUUGGUAUCGUUGACUCCAUCCAUAACUACAGUCGCAGCCACAUGAACAAAAAAAUAGCUCAUCUUAUUGAGUCAGCUGCCAAGUGCAUACGGAAGAGAGACAAAGUCGACAUCCUGCAGUCAACACAAACUUUUAUAUUAUUCAAAAUUCCUAAAACAUUUGUGGCAAACAUACUUUUUGCAUUAUUCAAAAUACAUAUAAUACGUCUUAUUAACUGUAACUCUUUGUGAGGUUGACCUUACAUUAUAUAGUUAUUUAUCCUGUGCUUUCACAUAUUGAUUUCAAGAAAAAAAAGGUACAUUCACUGCCAAAAGGCACAUUUUAGUUUCACCCACAUUCACAAUCUAACAACAUUUUUGUAAUUGGGGUUCACAGGAGGAGAAGAUAGCGCAGAGUGAAAAAGCAAUAGACGGAGGCGAUUUGACCCAGAGGGAGUCGCCGUGGCCGUAUCUGAGUCUACAUGGAGACUAUUGAUUAAGAUGUUGGAUUUUCAAUAAAAAUAUUAAGAGAAAAUAGAAAACCAACUAAAAUAGAGAUGUGUGUCUCAUUCCACCAGUGUAGGAUGACAGUUCGUCAGUGAUUUUGAUUCAGUGUGUCACAUGAACAUUAACUUCGGAUCACAGUUAGCCGUUGUUUCAUUUUAUUUUUUGGAGUCUCAAACCAGAAAGGUUGAGAACU